rnacentral:lncRNA from 1 species
UUAUGCUUAAUAAACUUAAAAUCAUACAGACAUAAACUUUUCUAUAGUACCAUUUCUUAUCAUAUUUGGGGUUGUAGAACAAAUAAGACCUAGCAUCUUUUUAUUUGUCCAAUAAUAAAUAUAGAGACAUACUGAGAUCCUAUUUUCUGUGGAACUUAUUCUAAAAUCUUAAGUGUAAAUCAGAGAUAAAAGAGAAAAACUCACUUCACCCUCUAGAAACUUGCACUCUAGCAAGAUAGGUAGAUGAUAGUAUUUAAAAGUAUAUUAUCCACAUUUACCUGGUAUCAAAUAAACCAGGAAAAGAAGAACACGAGCCAAGCAAACAGGUAUGAAGAAAGUUCCUGAGAAAACCAGACCAAACCAAACCAAACCAAAGAAAUAAACCAAAAUCCAAACACUAAACAACCAAGCAAAAAAACAACAAAACAAACACUCCCCACCCCCACCCCAAUACAUUGGCUGAAGCCUCUGUCUAUAGCUGAAAGUCUCACUCGUGAUUUUCUGGAAGCUGGAGAUCAGAGCCUAAUUUUCAUCUACCCUAAGUUAAUCUUUAGCCAUGUAAAGAGCCACCUUUGUUCUCCUUUGUGUUUGACCUAGUGUCCCUGUAACAGGUGAAGCCCUUUGCAGUGUGCUGACUUGCCAGACCACUGUCUUCCGCCAAUCAAAUGGCUAACAGUGUUAUCAGACAAGCAUCUGAACCAUGUCCUAGAGAAUUUUCUGCUUAGCUGCCAUCUUUUCUCCUGCUGCUAUCACAGC